GCAAACUUGGUCAUUUAGAGGAAGUAAAAGUCGUAACAAGGUUUCCGUAGGUGAACCUGCGGAAGGAUCAUUACCGAGUUUUGAAGUGGAGGCUUGCUGCUGGCGUGGAAACACGCAUGUGCACGGCCUUCGCGCUCAAAUCCAACUCAAACCCCCUGUGCACUUAAUAACAGUUGAAGCUAGUAGUCUCUUGUCGCUACGGAGAGCUAGUACCAACUAGUAGAGAGAGCUUGACGGCUCGUUCGAACGUUGGAGGUAGAGGCUCGAAGUGGUUAACACAAGAGGCGAACGGUUUGGCUUGUUUAUAUUACAAACACUUUAUUGUUAUGUGAAUGUAAUGCUCCUUGUGAGCGAUAAUUGAAAUACAACUUUCAACAACGGAUCUCUUGGCUCUCGCAUCGAUGAAGAACGCAGC
rnacentral:misc_RNA from 1 species